rnacentral:rRNA from 1 species
ACCGCAAACCGACACAGGUAGUCAAGAUGAGAAUUCUAAGGUGAGCGAGCGAACUCUCGUUAAGGAACUCGGCAAAAUGACCCCGUAACUUCGGGAGAAGGGGUGCUCUUUAGGGUUAACGCCCAGAAGAGCCGCAGUGAAUAGGCCCAAGCGACUGUUUAUCAAAAACACAGGUCUCUGCUAAACCGUAAGGUGAUGUAUAGGGGCUGACGCCUGCCCGGUGCUGGAAGGUUAAGAGGAGUGGUUAGCUUCUGCGAAGCUACGAAUCGAAGCCCCAGUAAACGGCGGCCGUAACUAUAACGGUCCUAAGGUAGCGAAAUUCCUUGUCGGGUAAGUUCCGACCCGCACGAAAGGCGUAACGAUUUGGGCACUGUCUCAACGAGAGACUCGGUGAAAUCAUAGUACCUGUGAAGAUGCAGGUUACCCGCGACAGGACGGAAAGACCCCGUGGAGCUUUACUGUAGCCUGAUAUUGAAAUUCGGCACAGCUGGUACAGGAGAGGUAGGAGCCUUUGAAACGUGAGCGCUGGCUUACGUGGAGGCGCU